rnacentral:misc_RNA from 1 species
AAGUCGUAACAAGGUCUCCGUUGGUGAACCAGCGGAGGGAUCAUUACAGAGUUGCAAAACUCCCCAAACCAUCGUGAACCUUUACCGCUAAACAGUUGCUUCGGCGGGUGGCCCGCGGGGGCCGCCGAGCCCGCCGGAGGAAUCCAAAAAACCAUCGCUUUCAGUACCGGCCUCUCUGAGUUACUGUACUUUUAAUUAAGUCAAAACUUUCAACAACGGAUCUCUUGGUUCUG